rnacentral:rRNA from 1 species
CAACCUGCCUUCGGAUGGGGACACAGCUGAAACGGCUGCUAAUACCGAAUACGUCUUUUUCAUCGCAUGGUGAGAAGAAGAAAAGGACGGCCUCUACACAAAGCGGUCGCCGAAGGAGGGGUUUGCGUCUGAUUAGCUAGUUGGAGGGGUAACGGCCCAACAAGGCGACGAUCAGUAGCCCGGUCCUGAGAGGAUGAACGGCCACAUUGGGACUGAGACACGGCCCAGACUCCUACGGGAGGCAGCAGUGGGGAAUCUUCCGCAAUGGACGAAAGUCUGACGGAGCAACGCCGCGUGAGUGAGACGGUCUUCGGAUUGUAAAGCUCUGUUAUACGGGACGAACGGCAAGGUGGUAAAUAGCCAUCAUGAGUGACGGUACCGUAAGAGAAAGCCACGGCUAACUACGUGCCAGCAGCCGCGGUAAU